UGGGGAAUAUUGCGCAAUGGGCGAAAGCCUGACGCAGCAACGCCGCGUGAGUGAUGAAGGCCUUCGGGUCGUAAAGCUCUGUCGGAGGGAACGAAUGCUCUUGAGGUUAACAGCCUCGGGAGGUGACGGUACCCUCAAAGGAAGCGCCGGCUAACUCCGUGCCAGCAGCCGCGGUAAGACGGAGGGCGCAAGCGUUGUUCGGAAUUACUGGGCGUAAAGCGCGGGCAGGCGGUCUGUUAAGUCGUUUGUGAAAAUCCGGGGCUCAACCCCGGAAAUGCAUACGAUACUGGCAGGCUGGAGACUGGUAGAGGCUAGCGGAAUUCCUGGUGUAGCGGUGGAAUGCGUAGAUAUCAGGAAGAACACCUGUGGCGAAGGCGGCUAGCUGGGCCAGUUCUGACGCUGAUCCGCGAAAGCGUGGGGAGCAAACAGGAUUAGAUACCCGAGUAGUCCCUGAGCGGGCUGGCAAGGCGCAU
rnacentral:rRNA from 1 species